CCUGGAACAAUUGAUGACUAAUUUUUUCCCCAGCUUAUCGACAAUGCUGUUAUUAUAUAGCCAGAACUUGCUGAUGUUCCACU